AUGCAGAGGCUCUUCCUGACCCAGUUUACACAGGGCCUAAAAGGGUUAAAGUCUCCAGCCUCUAUUGCAGAUAAGGUCUUCUGUUCUCUUCGGUGGGCCUUGAGUGUUAUCCCUUUGGAGUCAGCAUGGGCCCUCUUGUACCUUCAAAUUGCCAUCUCUUCAUUCCACUCAUAGCAAGCAGCAGGGGAGUAGCGAGUAGCCACACCACCAUACUAAAAGUGCCUCUUCCAGGCAUGGGCGCUGUCCACAACACCAACAGCAGUCACCUGAGGCUAGAGCCUGUGUUUCCUGCUUUGGUGCCAAAGUCUUGCUUGGUAACAGAAGUGCUGUCAGCACGCUGCUGCUCUCUGCCUCUGGGCUCUGGGCUCCUGGUGUGACGAGUUGGAUGGUGUGUUAGCAGCCUGCCCCCGACUACAGAGCAGCCCUGCACAGCAGAAAGAGGCUGAGCCAGAGAAGAGACCAAAGAAAGUCUCACAGAUCCACAUCUGGAAAACUAUUCCUAAACCAGAUCCCAACCUUAGCCCAAUGGGCCUGCCUCGGCCCAAAAGGUUAAAGAAGAAGGAGUUUAGUUUAGAGGAAAUCUAUACAAAUAAGAAUUACAAGUCUCCUCCUGCGAGCAGGUGUUUAGAGACCAUCUUUGAGGAACCGAAAGAACGAAAAGGGAACCCUUGUCUCUAUCAGCCAGCAGAAAAGGAAGCGUGUUCUGGAAUUCCAGGAUUUUACCGUCCCUCGAAAG
rnacentral:lncRNA from 1 species